GCGUGUUCCUCAUGAACACCCAAUCCCGAAUCCAAUCCGUUGGGAUUCACUCAAAUCUGUAGUCCCGUCUCCAAGUUGACCCAUAUAUAUAGAUGCCCGUGUGCUCCUCAUCCGAUUUUUGGAAAAAUCAAAGGAUCCCGUGCCCUACACCUCCCUCCCGAUCUCCCUGAACUUGCGCCGCUGACAGAAGCUUUCGCGGUGAAUUUCGUCGCCAUCGCGGUGGAGCACCCAAUCGAGCAGACGGACGUUGACAGAAGCAGUUCGCCGCUGGCCACAGAGAGACCCCUCCUUCGCCGUUAGAACUACCAUCGUCACCUCCGUUGAUCGCCGCGUCUGCACGUCACCUCGCCUUCGCCGGAGAACCGCCGGGGGAAGCGCCGUCGCCCACGCCCGAGCCGCGCCGCCGCCGUCUCGUUCAAGUCCGGCGACCACACAGCCUCUGUUUUCCGAUUGUCCAGAGUGUGAAGCGGACCAGAAUUAAGCGUUAGAGUACUUCAACACCGUUCAAGGCAAGUUUGCACUUUUGAUUUUGCUCAUCCUAUAUUCUGCUAUGCGUGUGUGGUUUUAUGCUAUGCUAUAUGUUUGGCUUGAUAUGUGUAUCCCGUGUUACCAUGUUUUGUUGUCGAUUGUGGUAUGUGAUGGUGUGAUCAACUUGCUAUGGUAGACGUGGGCAUGUGUCGAGUGAUUCCAUGAAAGUGGUGAGUGUUUAUAGCCGUAGGCUCGGGAUAAUUAACCAGGUGAAUGCGUCACUGGCAGAGCGCUCUAUUGUCCCUAGAGAAUGCGCCAUUGACAGAGCGCACUUGAGGCGAGGUAUAGUUUUCGGAACAUAAAUCAGGUGAAUGCGUCCUUGGCAGAGUGCUCUAUUGUUCCUAGAGAAUGCGCCACUGACAGAGCGCACUUGAGACAUACUUCUGAAGUUCUUGUCAUGUUUAUUUAGAAUCUUUGGGUUAUCUUGAGCGAGUAAAUUAGAGACGGUUGUGAGUUCAGGUAGUGGAGGUAGGUGAAGACAUUCUUCUCCAAACUAACUUGCGUGUUUUGUUUGUCAUACAUUGCUUUGUGGAUGUAGGUUUGCUUUAUCAUAUUGUGUGAUUUGCCAAUACAUUCAAUGUAUUGACCCUUUGUGGCUGCAACUUAUCAUGUUGCAGGAUUUUCAGAUGAUCAGUGAGAUACAGUAGGGUCGCGAGUCUUCACUCAGCAUUUUCGCCAGUGGGCAGUGAUGGGACUCAUCGUCUAUUAUGCUACAUUUCCACUGUUGUUAUUGAAUACAGCUAGCGAUGUGCUAUUCCAUUUGUAAUACUUUAUGAAUUCUGGAUCAUACGUUAUAGUAA